rnacentral:rRNA from 1 species
CCUACGGGAGGCAGCAGUGAGGAAUAUUGGUCAAUGGACGAGAGUCUGAACCAGCCAAGUAGCGUGAAGGAUGACUGCCCUAUGGGUUGUAAACUUCUUUUAUAUGGGAAUAAAAUGUUCCACGUGUGGGAUUUUGUAUGUACCAUAUGAAUAAGGAUCGGCUAACUCCGUGCCAGCAGCCGCGGUAAUACGGAGGAUCCGAGCGUUAUCCGGAUUUUUUGGGUUUAAAGGGAGCGUAGGUGGAUUGUUAAGUCAGUUGUGAAAGUUUGCGGCUCAACCGUAAAAUUGCAGUUGAAACUGGCAGUCUUGAGUACAGUAGAGGUGGGCGGAAGUCGUGGUGUAGCGGUGAAAUGCUUAGAUAUCACGAAGAACUCCGAUUGCGAAGGCAGCUCACUGGACUGCAACUGACACUGAGGCUCGAAAGUGUGGGUAUCAAACAGGAUUAGAUACCCGAGUAGUC